GCCAUAGAAAGAAGUCCGUCACUUGGUUUACUGCUAGGUUUAAGCCCAAACAUCCACGACCUGGGCGUCUUCAUUACGGACCAAGACCUGAUUGCUACCGACGUGAACUGCCUGAGUGGCCUCCAGAGAAUGAUUUCAGUGAUAAGAAACGUUUCUACCUGGUGGAAGAAUCAGAGCUGCUAAAAUAUGACUGGAUUCGUCUAUACAUGGAAUUUGCA